rnacentral:rRNA from 1 species
CCCUAGUAACGGCGAGUGAAGCGGCAACAGCUCAAAUUUGAAAUCUGGCGUCUUUGGCGUCCGAGUUGUAAUUUGCAGAGGGCGCUUUGGCAUUGGCAGCGGUCCAAGUUCCUUGGAACAGGACGUCACAGAGGGUGAGAAUCCCGUACGUGGUCGCUAGCCUUUACCGUGUAAAGCCCCUUCGACGAGUCGAGUUGUUUGGGAAUGCAGCUCUAAAUGGGAGGUAAAUUUCUUCUAAAGCUAAAUACUGGCCAGAGACCGAUAGCGCACAAGUAGAGUGAUCGAAAGAUGAAAAGCACUUUGGAAAGAGAGUUAAAAAGCACGUGAAAUUGUUGAAAGGGAAGCGCUUGCAGCCAGACUUGCCUGUAGUUGCUCAUCCGGGUUUUUACCCGGUGCACUCUUCUAUAGGCAGGCCAGCAUCAGUUUGGGCGGUUGGAUAAAGGUCUCUGUCACGUACCUCCUCUCGGGGAGAACUUAUAGGGGAGACGUAAUGCAACCAGCCUGGACUGAGGUCCGCGCAUCUGCUAGGAUGCUGGCGUAAUGGCUGUAAGCGGCCCGUCUUGAAACACGGACCAAGGAGUCUAACAUCUAUGCGAGUGUUUGGGUGUCAAGCCCGAGCGCGUAAUGAAAGUGAACGGAGGUGGGAACCUUUCGGGGUGCACCAUCGACCGAUCCUGAUGUCUUCGGAUGGAUUUGAGUAAGAGCAUAGCUGUUGGGACCCGAAAGAUGGUGAACUAUGCUUGAAUAGGGUGAAGCCAGAGGAAACUCUGGUGGAGGCUCGCAGCGGUUCUGACGUGCAAAUCGAUCGUCAAAUUUGGGCAUAGGGGCGAAAGACUAAUC